GAGAACGACUGUGCCACGUUGAAUACACCAGUUUUCGUCAGAUCGACGUCGGGCGUGGUCAGUGCUCGGAUGGGUGACCAUCUGGGAGAUCACGUGUUGUUGGUU
rnacentral:rRNA from 1 species